ensembl:antisense
UUAAGCUGAGUGUCUCAGGGACGGAGCAUGGGCUCAGCUUCCCAGAGAGGAUGCCAGCCUGGGAAGUCAAGGGAAGACCUGGCGAGGGAAGAUAGCUCAUCAUGGUGAUCAUUAGCCCACCUGCCUCUGGGAGGACGUCUUCAUGGCUGCCAGGCUGUGCUCGUCAGAUGCUGAAGAAGCACUGUUGGGGGCCCCUGGUCUCAGAAGUUUUGUCAGCCUGACUUCUGAGAGAUACCACCAGAAGAGCUACAUCCACCUCCGUGUUUCUCCUCUGGUUCCGGGGGGCCGUGCACUUUCCUUUAGAACAUCCGUCUGCAUCCCACAUCCCCGCCCCCCCCCCCCCGCCCACAUGCCUCUUUUUCCUGUUUAGCUUGGAUGGCAGGCCGGCUCUGGCCAUCAGAACCAUUGCUGACCUUGGCCGUCUUCACCUGCUGGGCAGACACAAAGUGAGGGCAACAUCUGGACCCAGAGGAGAAAUUAGAGGCCAUUCGUGGAAGCACGCAGGAGGCCGGAAGACCUCUGUCCAAGGCCAAAACACCACACCAUUGUUUUCCAGUUCCAAACAGGAAGGGAACCUGGGUGUGCUUGGGCAGAGGAAAGGGAACCUGAGGUGGAUAUAAGUGUGGCAAGUAAUCUCGAGUUUAAAAGGGGCCACAGUCUCUUCUAAUAAACAGUGUAUAAUGUUCUGUAUCCUGAUAUGCGUGACUAACCUCCGCAUCUUUGGUCCUCUGAAACGGUUUCACAGGCUCAUUUUUUUUCCCCUUCGGUUUUUAAAGACAGGAUCUCAUGUUCUCCACGAUGGCUUUGAACUUCCUAAGUAGCCAAGGAUGACCUUGACCUCCUGAUCUUACUGUCCCCUCCUCCCAAGUGCAAGAAUUACUAGCAUAGCACGCCCUGCCAGUCCCGACUGGGUGUGCGACUUCCUGUCCUGUGUCUGAGAAAGUACGCAUGUAUGCAGAGCAAGUAAGAGAAAGAGGAAGAAUAAGACCAACCAUUAACACCCCUCCCCGUGUGUGUGUGUGUGUGUGUGUGUGUGUGUGUGUGUGUGUGUGUGUUGGAGACAAGGUCACACCACAUGUAGCUGGCCAGAAGCUUGGGACUCUCUGCCUCUUUCCUAAUUGCUGGGAUUACAGGCGGAUGCCACACCUAGCUAAACCCGGGUUUGGAGAUGAUUCCAAAAGCCACAGUUGCAGCCAUUAGACCACCCUGCCUACCCCGGGGCUUUCAUUUGCUUUUGGAUGCCAUUCUUCCAAGGCCUUAUUAAUAGCGUUAAUAUACUGCCUGGCUUGGCGGGUUGGGGAGGGUUGGCUGACCCAGGUAGAUCACCUUGAAUGAAUAGCUUCACAAACAUAUUGCAUACCCCAUUUGUGUCAUAUCUGCUGUGGUUCCAUUGUCCAAAGAGACAUUGUCCAAAGAGACCUGGUCCGUCCCUUAGCUCCUUUAAGUGGGUGCUGUGAUUCCCAUCUGAGUAUCAGGCUGUGGAAAAUUUGGUGACGGUAAAAAAGUUUCUGAAAGCACAAACUAAGGAUCAAAUGUGUAAUAAACUCGAGGCCUUUCUGGCUGAGCUUCCGCGCACUGCUCAGGUCCCACGUCAUGGUAGGCUCGGUUUGAACACAAACACGCACCAUGCUGUGAGACACUAAGGACGGCUGCCAGAGUCCCCUCUGCUCGGAUUGGACACUGAAAUGUUGGGAAGCGCAGUGUUUUUACUGGACGUGCAAAGCGCUCUGCUUUGGGGUCAGUAAAGUGUCUCAGCUGAUAAAGAUGCUUGCCACUUGAGUUUGGUCUCCAGGACUCACGUAGUGGAAGGAAAGAACUGAUUCCCUAAAGUCAUUUCCUGACAUCUACCUAUAUAUUUUGGCAGGUGUAUGACCUCCUCCCCCAAAUUAAUUUAUG